GAUGAACGCUAGCUACAGGCUUAACACAUGCAAGUCGAGGGGAAACGCCAUCGAAAGCUUGCUUUUGAUGGGCGUCGACCGGCGCACGGGUGAGUAACGCGUAUCCAACCUGCCCAUCACUUGGGAAUAACCUUGCGAAAGUAAGACUAAUACCCAAUGAUAUCCCACGAAGGCAUCGGAAUGGGAUUAAAGAUUUAUCGGUGAUGGAUGGGGAUGCGUCUGAUUAGCUUGUUGGCGGGGUAACGGCCCACCAAGGCAACGAUCAGUAGGGGUUCUGAGAGGAAGGUCCCCCACAUUGGAACUGAGACACGGUCCAAACUCCUACGGGAGGCAGCAGUGAGGAAGAUUGGUCAAUGGGCGAGAGCCUGAACCAGCCAAGUAGCGUGCAGGAAGACGGCCCUAUGGGUUGUAAACUGCUUUUAUAAGGGAAUAAAGUGGGUCACGUGUGACUUUUUGCAUGUACCUUAUGAAUAAGGACCGGCUAAUUCCGUG
rnacentral:rRNA from 1 species